rnacentral:rRNA from 1 species
CGUAACGCGUAUGCAAUCUACCUCUUACUGAGGGAUAGCCCAUGGAAACGUGGAUUAAUACCUCAUAGUAUUAUAGACUGGCCUCAGUUUAUGAUUAAAGGUUACGGUAAGAGAUGAGCAUGCGUCCUAUUAGCUAGAUGGUAAGGUAACGGCUUACCAUGGCUACGAUAGGUAGGGGUCCUGAGAGGGAGAUCCCCCACACUGGUACUGAGACACGGACCAGACUCCUACGGGAGGCAGCAGUGAGGAAUAUUGGACAAUGGGCGAGAGCCUGAUCCAGCCAUGCCGCGUGCAGGAAGACGGCCCUAUGGGUUGUAAACUGCUUUUACAGAGGAAGAACCCUCCUUACGUGUAAGGAGCUGACGGUACUCUAUGAAUAAGGAUCGGCUAACUCCGUGCCAGCAGCCGCGGUAAUACGGAGGAUCCAAGCGUUAUCCGGAAUCAUUGGGUUUAAAGGGUCCGUAGGCGGGUCUAUAAGUCAGUGGUGAAAGUCUGCAGCUUAACUGUAGAACUGCCAUUGAUACUGUAGACCUUGAAUUAGUAUGAAGUGGUUAGAAUGUGUAGUGUAGCGGUGAAAUGCAUAGAUAUUACACAGAAUACCGAUUGCGAAAGGCAGAUCACUAAUACUAUAUUGACGCUGAUGGACGAAAGCGUAGGUAGCGAACAGGAUUAGAUACCCUGGUAGUCUACGCCCGUAAA